rnacentral:rRNA from 5 species
AACUUUUAACAAUGGAUCUCUUGGUUCUCGCAUCGAUGAAGAACGUAGCAAAGUGCGAUAACUAGUGUGAAUUGCAUAUUCGUGAAUCAUCGAGUCUUUGAACGCAGCUUGCACUCUAUGGAUCUUCUAUAGAGUACGCUUGCUUCAGUAUCAUAA